CUAAGCUGCCGCCGGAUCCUACCCCUGACCCGAGGGCGGCGGGGAGAGUGUGCUCUGUAGCGGUUUCCUUCCGAGCAGGUGGUGACUGCUCCUUGGAGAGCAAGGAGGAGGCCUGGGCCGCCCGGCUGCGGUCGGGCGCGCACCACCCGAAGGUGAGGCAUUUGGCCCCCAGACGGUCCUUCGGAGAGCCCAGCUGAGCGAGAAGUUAUCUUACAGCUCUGCCCGCUGCACCUGCUGGAGGGAGCGAGCGCCCCACCCUUUCCGCGGUGUGGAGCGAGACUCAGCGCCAGAUAACGCGUGGUCGGGCCGAGCAAAUGUUUGAUGAAUGAAAGAAUGCCUCACUCGUGGAGUGCAGAGGAGUCCGACGGAAGUGCAAGCGCCUUGCCGACUGCGUAGCGUUGUCAAGAUGAGCGUUGUCAGGCGUCCCUCUUCCCUCAGUCCCCCCGCCUCCGGAGGAAGUGGGGGUGCGGCUUGAGUGAGGAGUCACAGGCUGAGCCUAGCGAAACAGGAGGCGAAUUGCCGGGACGAGGGAGGGGAGCCAUCCUCCCGGAACUGUGGAAGGGUUUUUUUACUUUUUCAAGAGGGCGAAUUUAGUAGCGACUCCCUUUUAGGACUCAGUCUUGCUUGUGGCUUGGUGCCUGGGAGAGCUGGUGUUGGCUGUUAAUCACUGUCCAUUACCGUCGUCAAGAAACGUUGGCCUGUGUGUCAGAUAAACAUGAUUACUCUUUAUGCAGCUUUUCCUAGAAAUGUUAUCCUGGAAAGUAAAUUCACGUAAAAACUCAUCAGGUUGAACGUAGUUCUCUAGGCAAAGAAAUUUUAAAAUAAAAGGACCAGAUCCUCAGAAAUCUGUCUUGAACCUGGCCUGGUGCAUAGUGUGAGAAUGAGAUAAAAGCAGUAAGGAUGAAAGGAAGCAGAUUCCACAGUACUGUCUCUGGACCCUGGACACCGUACCUCCUCUGGAAGCGUCAGUGUUUUUUGUUUAGAGUCAGUGAUAUUUUAAGACUGGAGGAAGAUGAGACCCAGAGAAAUUAAAUGACUUACCCAGGGUCAGAAGAGCAAGUGAAAAGGAAGCCUGGACGCAGCCCCAAGUCUUCAAAUAGAGCACGCUUGCUUCAUAGCACACUGACCCUCAGUCUUCUGGAGAAGUGAGUUGGGGCUCAAAUUUUAAUCUACCUUUGGAUUCCUUAAUUUGGAAACUGGAGUGGAUUCAAAACGAGACUCCAGGAAUUGAGAGUCACAACCUACCAGAGCAGCCAGAACACAGCACUAAUCGUGGGAAGCAAAGGACAGAAAGAUUCCUGAGACCCAGCAAAAUGCCAAGCAAGAAGCAAGAAACAGCUGGCUGCCCAGACUGUCCCAGGACCGUGCUGGUGAUGGAAAGGCUCUCUGUGGGCUUCUUUCUUACCAUCCCCUUGAUAGACUGCAGUUGUCAGAGGGAAAGACAGGCAGGCAUCUCAUAGGAAAGUCUUUCAGUGUAAAGAAAAGCCACCCAUCAGCAGCAGCUCACAGGGACAGCAAAAUGCCCAACUUCUUGGCAUUUGGGAUUUUCCAGGAAAGAUAGGCUAACUUGAAAACAAAGUCUGUUUUUAGGAUAUGUGCAAGUGCCUUCAGGGAAGCUGUUUGGGUGAAGUAGGUGUUCCCCGCCCCAAAUAGCUGGUUUGUUUGGUGAGCUGUAGGGGCAUAUUGGGUGCAGCUAAAUUGAUCUGAACAAUUUUCAAUCUUACAUCAUAAAAAAUAGUAUGGAGCAAAGCCUUCUGCCUUUAGGGAAUGAAGUACUCAUUUCUCAAUUGGUCAUUGAGAGUUAACAGCAGAUUGAGUGAGCAACCCCUGAAAAGAGGAGACAUUGGCUUAAUUCCGUGUUGUUACAGAGCUCAGCAUGCAGGUUGAUAUACACAGGGAGAGGUUGGCAGGCAGCUCCUUCACAUAAUAAUAUUCAUUCUUCUGAAUGGCUCAUUAAUAUUGUAUAUAUUCCUCUUUGGCCGUGCCCUCAUGUCUCCUCUCUGGACUGAGUCAGGCUCCCAGGACUCAGAGGUAAAAAAGAAGAGAAAGGAUAGAUGUGGAUUUUCAUGGAGUCGACGGCAGGCUGCUGUUUAUGACAGCUCCACGGCCAUGAAAAAUGUCAAGGAAACAAAAUAGGAAGACAAAUCCGUGGCAGGAAUUGGUUUCGGAUAACCAGUCAGCUGAUUAUCUCCUGAGUCUACGCCCCGUGCAUCUUGAUGGGGAAACUGAGGCCAGGGCAGAGAAGCAGCUUUCCCAAAGUCAACCAGCCCAUUAGCGGUAGAUGCAGAACCAAGCAGCAGAGAAAAUGCGGGGGUGCUCUCGCUGCAGAGAGGGUUUGGGGCUCUCUGGAUGCAGCACUUUCUCAGGGUCUGGAGUGCCUGUUGUGUGCCGUUCCCUCAUUGGACAGCGGAGGAGCUGGAGCUCAGAGAGGCUGGGUGACUAGCCUAAGGUCACACAGCUGGGAUUCAAAUCCACGCCUGCUUCCUGCCAGCUCUCUUCGAGUCACAGUCAAGUUGCAUAAAGUGAGCCCUUAUUCCGACAGGUUCUGAUGGAGCUGCUGCAAACCUCCCCGCUGUCUGUUCUCUCACUUCCUCCGGGGAAUCUGGUUCUGCUCAGCUCUGCCUCCCACUUUCUGCAUGAUGUUGGUCAAGUCACUUCAUAUCUAGGGGGUCACAUCUCUUCAUCAGUGAAAUGCGAGGUGUCUGCCGAACCUCCUUGUCACUCUGAAAUUCCACGAAUCUGACACUGGCUACCCCUUCCUUUCUGCUGGGGGGACACAGGAAGCCUCCCAUUUCUCUCCUGAGCUCUGCCGCUUGAUCCAGGCUUUGCUUCUCAGUAGAAUCAGCCUUGCCACCUGAUACACAUUAUUCUUAGCAGAAGCAUCCUUGGCUUUCUUCAGGCUGUGAAGGCAAACCUCUCAAAGGUUACACCCCCAGCUUUCCUUAAAGCAAGAUGCAUCUCUUGCCCGAGUGUUGGCCAAUGAGAUGGAAGGGGGUCAGGUUUUUAGGAGAGUCCGUUUCACCUUCCACCUUCCUGCUGCCUGAAAGACAGCUCUGAUGACCAGAGUCCCGGCAGCCAUCUGGAGCCAAAGGAGACUGCAGCUUGAAUCCAGGUGCUAAGAAUGGUGGCACAGAAAGAGAGGGAGAGCCUGGGCUCAGGUGACCUUGAAGCCACCAGACCAGCUCUGAACUUCCUACCUCCAGACUGGUUUUAGGUGAGAGAAAAAAUAAGCCCUUACAAAUUUAAGUCUCUGUUCUUUUGGGGUUUUUUUCUUUCUUUCUUCCUUUCUUUCUUCCUUUCUUUCUCCCUUUCUUUCUCCCUCUCUUCCUUCCUUCCUUCCUUCCUUCCUUCCUUCCUUCCUUCCUUNNNNNNNNNNNNNNNCUUUCUUUCUUUCUUUCUUUCUUUCUUUCUUUCUUUCUUUCUUUCUUUCUUUCUUUCUUUCUUUCUUUUGUCUUUUCAGGGCCACACCCACAGCAUAUGGAGGUUCUAAUCAGAGCUAUAGCCACCAGCCUACACCAGAGUCACAGCAACACAGGAUCCGAGCCACGUCUGUGACCUACACCACAGCUCACGGCAACACUGGAUCCUUAACCCACUCUGAAAUUCAACAAAUCUGACACUGGAAUUUCAGAGCGAGGCCAGGGAUCGAACCCACAACCUCAUGGUUCCCAGUCAGAUUCGUUAACCAAUGCGCUAUGACAGGAACUCCAGGGGUUUUUUGCUAUAUGCAGGCAAAUUAAUUCUUCCUGAUAUACCUACAAACUCUUUAUCCUUUCUCAUUCCGCCCAGCUGCAAUAUUUCCCUUAGCUGUGGUGUUAAUUUGCCAUGUCCUGCUGGGCAAAUUGAUAACCUGCCGGCACCCCCCAGUCAGCAUGCACAAUGCCAGCUUCAUAAUCAUCCCUGGAAAUUUUCUCCCCUGUUCCUUUUUGCAGUAGUGGCAGUGCCACUUUUUCUGUCACUAGCGCUCAAAAACCUGGUGCCAUCUUGCAUUCCUCUUGGUCAGUUAUCAAAUCCCUUAGUUUCUCCAUUCAUUGAUCUAAUAGUUUUUGGUUUUGUUUUAUGGCUGCACCUGUGGCAUAUGGACGUUCCCAGGCCAGGGAUUGAAUCCAAGCCACAUCUGCUACCUACACCACAGCUACAGCAACACCAGAUCCUUUAACCUGUUGAACCAGGCCGGGAGUGAACCCACACCUCUGCAGUAACCCGAGCUGCUGCAGUCAGAUUCUUAACCCACUGCACCACAGCGGGAACUCCCACCUAAUGUUUUGAGGGCAUAUUAUCUCAAGAGAUGCUCGGGACCGGGGUACAAGGGUAAGUCAAACAGAUGUUUAUUUGCUGUUGAAAUGCCUGCAAUCACGGACAGGCAGUUAUCUGUUCUCACGAAGCCUGUAAUCAAGGCAGGCGUUAGCUGAAUAAUAACACAAACAAGCAAGUGCUUCACACACACACACACACACACACACACACACACACACACACACAAAGGUGCUGAGAACUUACAGCGGGGGCCAGGGCAGGCUUUAACAGAGCUGAAACCUGAAGCAUAAUUGGAGCUAAUGAGGUAAAGAGCAGAGAGGGCUCUGAGUGGCAGGGGCACAUUUGGGGCAGAGGAAACAUCAGGUGAGAAAGCCCAAGGAACGAAGGGCAGCGUACAGCCUCUGGGUUAAGAGAAGGCUGUUGACUGAGGCACGAGGAGCCUCGAGGGUUCCAAGAGGCAUAGGCAGGGUGCAAGCAGGUCGAGGAUUUUAAGCUUCACCCUAAGAUCAACAGGAAGCUGUUUGCAGGGUUUUAAGCGGCAAAGAGAGGGUAGGCAGUGCGGUGUCCUUCCUAAUCCUCUUCUCUUCUUAAUUUCCUCUGCUGUUACACGUGUUCCCUGUUACCUGCUUCUCUUCCUGAAAGUCACCCUCCACAAACUGAGCAUCGUUUUUCCACAUCUCAAGCCUAUUCUUAAAAGUCUUCAUGAGGGUGUUCCCUGGUGGCCUUGGGGUGAAAGGAUCCAGCAUUGUCACUGCUGUGGCUUGGGUUGCUGCUGUGGCCUGGGUUUGAUUCCUGGCCUGGGAACUUCUACAAGACAUGGAUGCAGCCAAAAUGUUUUUUAAAAGUCUUCACAAGCCUCUCAUUUCCUGCCUGAUGAAAUUCAAGUUCCCAGGCCAGAGGUCAAGUUCCCAGGCUGUGACUCCGGCCACUCUCCCCCAUCCCCGUGCUUCCUGCUCCCUGUGCCCUUCCCCAUGCUCCUCCCUGGGACCAGGAAUAUCAUUUUCUUGAAGAACCAUCUGUCGAAACCUCUGUCCUUCAAGACUCUGCUCCAAGUCCUCUCUCCCCAAAGUGCUGCCUGCUCUCCUCUUCCCAAAGCCUCCUUUGCUCCUGUGUCUCUGAGCCUCACCAGGAACUUGUCACUAUCUGCAUUUGAGGGCAAACCUGAUGACCUGAUGGGAGGAUCCUUUCUGCCCCCACAGGUCCCACUGUGCCCAGCUUAGAACAAGAGGCUCAGUAAAUGUCAACUCACAGAGUUCCCAUCAUGGCACAGUGGAAACGAAUCUGACUAGGAACCAUGAGGUUGCAAGUUCGAUCCCUGGCCUCACUCAGUGGGUUAAGGAUCCAGUGUUGCUGUGAGCUGUGGUGUAGGUUGCAGAUGUGGCUCGGAUCCCAAGUGGCUGUGGCUGUGGUGUUGGCCGGCAGCUGUAGCUCCAAUUUGACCCCUAGCCUGGGAACCUCCAUAUGCCAUGAGUGCGGCCCUAAAAGGACAAAAGACAAAAAAAAAAAAAAAAAAAAAA
rnacentral:lncRNA from 1 species